UGUUUUAGUGACAUUAACGUUUUGACAGAAACCCAAAACAUAAGGUUACUCAAAAUUAAGACUGCAUAUAUCUCGAUUAACU